GGAUGGCAAGAAUGAUGAAUCAAUUAGAUGAAUGAAUGAAUUUAUUCAUCAUGAACUCGGAUCUUUGAGGCAGAUUAUUGUCUUUGUAGCGUAAUUGUCUUUU
rnacentral:snoRNA from 1 species